UACGUAGGUGGCAAGCGUUGUCCGGAUUUACUGGGCGUAAAGGGCGCGUAGGCGGCAAUUCAAGUCAUCUGUGAAAUCUCCGGGCUUAACUCGGAAUGGUCAGGUGAUACUGCUUUGCUAGGGUGCAGAAGGGGCAAUCGGAAUUCUUGGUGUAGCGGUGAAAUGCGUAGAUAUCAAGAGGAACACCUGAGGUGAAGACGGGUUGCUGGGCUGACACUGACGCUGAGGCGCGAAAGCUAGGGGAGCAAACGGG
rnacentral:rRNA from 1 species